UACGGGGGGGGCAAGCGUUGUUCGGAAUUACUGGGCGUAAAGGGCUCGUAGGCGGCCAACUAAGUCGGAUGUGAAAUCCCCAGGCUUAACCUGGGAACUGCAUCCGAUACUGGAUGGCUUGAGUACUAAAGAGGGUCGCGGAAUUCCCGGUGUAGAGGUGAAAUUCGUAGAUAUCGGGAGGAACACCGGUGGCGAAGGCGGCGACCUGGGUAGAUACUGACGCUGAGGCGCGAAAGCGUGGGGAGCAAACAGG
rnacentral:rRNA from 1 species